GUCCACGCUGUAAACGAUGUCAACUAGCUGUUGGGUAUAUGAAUGUACUUAGUGGCGCAGCAAACGCGAUAAGUUGACCGCCUGGGGAGUACGGUCGCAAGAUUAAAACUCAAAGGAAUUGACGGGGGCCCCGCACAAGCGGUGGAGCAUGUGGUUUAAUUCGAUGCAACGCUAAGAACCUUACCUACCCUUGACAUACAGUGGAUUUAGCAGAGAUGUUGAAGUGCCUUCGGGAACACUGAUACAGGUGCUGCAUGGCUGUCGU
rnacentral:rRNA from 1 species